rnacentral:tmRNA from 1 species
GGGAGCGACUUGGCUUCGACAGGAGUAAGUCUGCUUAGAUGGCAUGUCGCUUUGGGCAAAGCGUAAAAAGCCCAAAUAAAAUUAAACGCAAACAACGUUAAAUUCGCUCCUGCUUACGCUAAAGCUGCGUAAGUUCAGUUGAGCCUGAAAUUUAAGUCAUACUAUCUAGCUUAAUUUUCGGUCA